rnacentral:lncRNA from 1 species
GGAAUUUCAAAAUAUCCAUCUCUUGCUCAAGGCACAAUAGUAUGUCCUGAUCUGAGCUCACUUUGAACCAACUGCAUUCUUCUAAAUAUUAACAUUAUGAAGCUGUCAGUAGGCAUUACAACUGUAUAUAAAGACUAAAGAUUUCAUUCACUUUUAGGUAAAGCAAGAUUAUGAAAAGAAAAAUGAAGUGGGAAAAAAAAAAAUGAAGUGGGAUUUCCCCAUACACUUUUGGCAGACGGGAAGCAACAAGCUUCAUUUGCAGCUAAUGAGAAGCCUAUAUGUUGGCAUUCCAGAACUGGCCUCAUGACUCUACCUCAUGAAUAUCUCAGGAUCUUGCUUCUGCUCGUCAUCUUUGCCAAGAGACUCCCAUCUCACAGCUUCCUUGUGGUCACAACACAAGUGCCUCUGUUCUGCACUGAAGGCAGGAAAGAGAAUAAGAAAAAGCCCUGCUUCUGCGGAAAGCAGACUCCCUAGCAGAACUAUGUCACUAGGACAAACCCAAAGCCUGGAAACAUAUUCUUGUAGACGGUUUGUAUUGCAAAGACACUCCACAAAGAAGGAUUACAUGGCUUCUAGAGAGCACUACCUCAAAAUAUGAAAAAAUUACUUAAUGGAUUUAUGCAGAACUCCCACUUCUGGCCAUGACAAAGUAACUGAUUCUACACUUGUCUUCCAAAAAGUAAGUAUCAAAGAGGAAACAAUAUAUGAUUCUUAACAAAUAUCCAAUCCUAGAUGGUUCAGGAUUGCAAAAAUUAAGAGAAGCAUGUGGGGUGAGCCCACAACCACUCCAGGUAUUGGUUCAUCAACCUGAGCAUUCAACUGAGAUUACAGAAAGGCCACACUUUAGGAAGAAGAUCAAACAACAGAACAAGAGCUAUCAUAUGGGACUACUUUCAAAAUUAAAAGAUCUUAUAACAAGUUUUUUUUAAAAAAAGGAAGGGGGAAGCAUGGUAUACUUAAAGUCAUCUGACACCUCCUAAACAAAAAUCGCUGAAUUAAGAUAUGUAUGUUAUUAUAUAUUAAUCGCAUAGUGUAUAAUUAAUAUAUAUUUUACAUAUAUAAAGAGAGAAACAAAAACAGAGAAAGAAUAACUAUACUUACCAUAACCACUGUGUAGCAUAACAUUAAAUAAUUACUAAUCAUGUGAAAAGACCAGAAAAUAUGACCUAACAUCAAGAAAAAGACCAGCCAGUUGAAAUAAAAUGACCUCAACAUUGG